rnacentral:lncRNA from 10 species
GUGGAUUUACUAGGAAGGUGGGACGUUGGAGGGGUGGCCGCAUGGAGUGAGUACUGUCUCUGGCCACCGAGCAGAGCCAGUGACAGCAGCGUCCUGGUAGGCAGGCAGGCGUAUCAGGUUUCAGAGGAUGCGGCUGGGAACGGGAGUAGAGGUGAGGGGUCGUUGCAUCUGUCGCGGUGUGUAUCUUUUGGGGGUUCAGCGCCACCAGCGACUUGGGCCUCAUUCAUCGCGCUUACAUUUCUCCACCUCAUUUGAAGAACGAGCUUCGUAGCCCACGGAGCUGAGGUAUAUGAGCUCCCUGAAAGCACAAAGCAGUUAUUUCCAUCUUCAGAUCAUUCAGAGAUUAUGAAGGCACAAACCCUGCCUUCAAUUUGCUUAUAGUCAAGUGGAGCAGACACAAGUCAAUGAUUGCAGUAUAGCCACUGAAGUAAUCUAAAAGAGGUGAGUGUGGCACUUAACCUCUCCUGGGAGGGGGAGGAAUAAGGCAGUGUUUCCAAGAGGUGAUUUUGGAGCUAUACAGGCAUUAGGUAGACAAGGAAGGGGAGGUCCAUUCUGGGUGCCUAGGACUCUGUGGCUGAUUUAUAAAUCGUAAAUGGUACAAAAAACAGUGUUGAGUAUCUUUUACCUUUCUCCAGAGUACUGUUCUUACUUUUGGAUAGUGCUUCUUGUUUUUUCCUUCCCUCUCCCUGUCCCU